UACGUAGGGGGCAAGCGUUGUCCGGAAUUAUUGGGCGUAAAGAGCGUGUAGGCGGCCAGAUAAGUCCGCUGUGAAAUCUCGAGGCUCAACUUCGAGCUGUCGGUGGAAACUAUCUGGCUAGAGUCCGGAAGAGGCGAGUGGAAUUCCCGGUGUAGCGGUGAAAUGCGCAGAUAUCGGGAGGAACACCAAUGGCGAAGGCAGCUCGCUGGGACGGUACUGACGCUGAGACGCGAAAGCGUGGGGAGCAAACAGG
rnacentral:rRNA from 1 species